AAUACAGUACUUGUUAUGCCUUAUUAAAAAAAAGUUUUAUAACAUAAGGAAUUAUAACAAAGAAGCAACACAUAAAAUAUGACAUUCAUAUUUUUUAGUGUGUAUCAAUCGAGUUUCUGACCUAUCAGCUUUUGAUGUUAGGAUAUGGGCCUACCAUGGUGACCACGGGUGACGGGGAAUCAGGGUUCGAUUCCGGAGAGGGAGCCUGAGAAACGGCUACCACAUCCAAGGAAGGCAGCAGGCGCGCAAAUUACCCAAUUCUAAAGAAGAGAGGUAGUGACAAGAAAUAAUAGGACAAGACUAAUUUUUUAGUUUUGUAUCUGUGCUGAUAGAAUUUUAAAACCAUUCUAAAAUUCCAUUGGAGGGCAAGUCUGGUGCCAGCAGCCGCGGUAAUUCCAGCUCCAAUAGCGUAUAUUAAAGUUGCUGCAGUUAAAAAGCUCGUAGUUGGAUCUCAAA
rnacentral:rRNA from 1 species